GAUGAAGAACGUAGCGAAAUGCGAUAAGUAAUGUGAAUUGCAGAAUUCAGUGAAUCAUCGAAUCUUUGAACGCAUCUUGCGCUCCUUGGUAUUCCUUGGAGCAUGCCUGUUUGAGUAUCAUGAGCAAAUCUCAAAGUCAAUUCCUUUUGUUGAUUCAAUUGGUUUUGCUUUGGACUUGGAGGCCUUGCAGAUUUCACAGUCUGCUCCUCUUAAAUGCAUUAGCUGGAUCUCAGUAAUUAUGCUUGGUUCCACUCGGCGUGAUAAGUAUCACACGCUGAGGACACUGUUAAAAAGGUGGCCAGGAAAAUACUGAUUGAACCGCUUCUAACGGUCUAUUAAGUUAGACAAUUACCCUUAAGUUUGAUCUCAAAUCAGGUAGGACUACCCGCUGAACUUAAGCAUAUCAAUAAGCGGAGGA
rnacentral:misc_RNA from 1 species